UACAAUGUAGGUUUUAUGUUUUGGUCUUAGAUAGCCAAAUAUUAUGUGCUUCUUGUAUUAUUAUUUUCUCUCUAAAACCUCUUGGUACUGCUUUUUCAUAUUCUAGAUUAUUUGUUACUUCUUGUUGUAUUUGGUGUAUAUUUGGAACAUCCUCUUUUUUCCAGUUUCUAGCUAUUAGGAGUUUACAGGUAUUUAAUAUUUGGAAAGUCAGCAUUUCUAGGCUCUUAUUAGGAAGUUUGUCAUGUAGAUUUAAUAGCAUUGCUUCUGGAGAUAAUGGAAUAUUUUGUUCAGUGACUUUUGUAAUUAAUGAUCUUGCAGCUAGCCAAAGACUUUGUAUAUUUUUACAAUUCCACCAGAUGUGUAGCAUAUCUCCUAUGUCUUUGUUACAUCUCCAACAUAGAUUUGAAGCUUCAGGAUACAUUUUUGCUAUCCUUGAGGGAGUUAGGUACCAAUUAUAUAGAAUUUUGUAAUAAUUCUCCUGGAGUGUGACACAUUUAGUAAACAAUUGGGGUUUGAUAAUAGCCUUUUGCCAUUCUUUUAUUGUGAAAGUUUUCUUUAGUCUUUGCUCCCAUUUAAUCAUAUGAGGUAUUUUUAAUAUUUCUUUUGGUUCGCUUAGUAGAUUGUAUAUCUUUGUUAUACCUUUUUUUAUGUUUUUACCAUAUUGAAAAUAGAUUUCAAAAUUUGAGAGCGGUCUGAGUCUCCCUUGUAUCAAUGUUUCAAAGUAGUUCCGUAUAAUAAGGUAUUUAUGAAAGUCAGCUUUGUCCAGGUUUAGUUCUUUCUUUAAACAGGUAAAAGUUUUGAGAUGUUCUAGGCAGAACAGGUCUAUUAGUUUUAAUGGACUCUCUCUUUUCCAUGUGGAUAGAUUGACGUUUAAUAAGUUUUCCAAAACUGAAAUAGGUGCUAAUGGAGAAGGGAAAGACGAACACCAAGAGUUAUCUCGAUUAUCUCUCCAGAUGUUUAUUGCUGUCUUUAGAGCUGCAGGUGAUGUAUUUAUUGCAUAUUCUACUUCUUGAUGAGUGAUGGGGGCUUUUAGAAGGUCUUUUUGAUCAUUAUUUAAACAAGGCUGCUUUUUGAAUGAAGAGUCCACGAACAGAAGCUUUGUGAGCACACCAUUGUGUCUGUAAUGAAGUCUCCUUGGAGUUAUUAAUCUCAAAAUAAUCUCUCAAACUAUUGUUAUAAAAAUCCCUGUCACUUAUUUUAUUUAAUAAAGAUUCAUUUAACCUC